rnacentral:rRNA from 1 species
AUGAAGGUUAUCUCGGCAAUUCAGGAUAAGUGGCCUAACGAUGAUGAGGGAGCAACAAUAUUCAUCCAACAGGAUAACGCAAAGCCUCAUGUCCUUCCCAAUGAUGUAGCUUUUCGAGAAGCUGUGGAAAAAACUGAUCUUGACAUCCGAUUGCUACAACAGCCCCCAAAUAGCCCUGAGUUAAAUUGUUUGGACCUCUGCUUCCAUAACUCUCUCCAGUCUCUAACCGACUGCAGGUCACCUACAAACAUCCAGGAACUGGUACAGGGUGUGGAAGAGGAAUUCGAGAACUAUGAUCCCGACAAGUUGCACAGAAGCUUUAUCACAUUAGAAGCAGUUAUGUUUGAAGUUAUGAAAGACAAAGGAGGAAAUCAAUAUAAGUUGCCCCACUUGCACAAGGAUCGCGUUCAGAAUGCUGGAAUGGAAAUAACCGGUGUAUAUUGCGACAGUCGGGUAGUUGUUGAUACUAGGGCCCUUAUAGAAGAAAUGGAAAUUGCAAUAGGAAAAGAAAAUGAAAGCAAAGAAUUAGCUAGAGAAGGGAAAAGAAAGAAAAGUAAAGGGAAGGGAAGGGAAGAAGUGGCCAGAGAAAGAAUGUAG